UAGCUGAGAGACAAGAGAAGUCAGAGCGAAGAGUUCACUGCCGCAAGAGCCAUGCACAAAGAGGCGGAGAGUGGAAUGCAGCCAAGGAUGACUUGCCAGCAGCACAGAACAAGGCGGUAAUCUUUGAUACGAUUGCCAUUUGCCCGGCAAGUCCAUCCUUGGCUACACCUUACUCUCUACCUCUCCUGUAUUGCUUUUGCAUGGCCUGGAGAAAUUUGAAUUUUCUUGGUGCCUCUUCCUUCCAUAGGGGUAACACUAGUGAGCCAGAAGCAACCAGGUUUUGCGCUUGGGGGGGGGGGGGGGGGGGGGAGCAAGGCGCUCGACCACGGCUAAAUUUAGAAGGCCGAGGCCAAAACAGAAAGAAAAAAACAUACAACACAGUGACGCGGAGAAGCUCUGGAUCCAUGCUGCCUUCAGAAUUGACUUGCAGAUAGAGCAGGAGCAUCGCCAAUGCCAUAGGAUAACAUCGGUGGCAAUGUUCCACGAAAUGGUGGCGGGAGCAGAUGGUCGCUGCGGAAGACUUUGGCGUUGCAGCUCAGCUGUCAGAAUCAGAAUGGAUGACUCAGAAGAAACAGUUCGAUCAUUGACGCUCAUUCAUAGAGAACAGGUGCAGCUAUAUAUCAUGUAUUUUCUGGUGAUCAUAUCUAAGGCAGAUCAUUGCUAUUUAAUGUGUGCUUGGAUAAUAAUUUCAUAUUUUUCCCAUGACAUGGAAAUUGCGGAACAACGACAUGAAUAUGUCUAACAACGUAAACUAAAUUUUCGAGCUCUCAAAAACACAUUUACCUAUAUUUACUCUGGUAUAGUCCACAUAUGAAAUGUUUGCUAACAUCAAAUAUUUAGGAGAUGUAACUGGCACCUCAGACUAUUAUGUAGGAUGAUAAAUAUCGUGAUCAAACAGCAAAGAAGUCCACUUGAUUGGGACACUUCCACAGAAGCCGUGACAGCAAGGCGGCACUAUUCCGAAAACAAAAUUAUACUUGCAGUUACUGCUGAAAACAAAUGUGUGAUAGCAUUAUCCCUACAUUAUUCCAAAUUUAUAAUAUACCAGCCAGUUAAAUUUUUUUUUUGAGGGGUACCAGCCAGUUAAGUGGAUACAAGAUUGUAUGGUGUGAAUUGUUCAAAAUAGCAAAAAUCUCAGUAGCACUGGAUGAACUUAAAUGGCAGUAAUGAAUGAUGACUACUUCAAGA